rnacentral:lncRNA from 1 species
UUUUUUCUUUUUUAAUCCAUAUUUAUUGUGUUGGCACUCCCACUCUAUUCCUCCUGAGGUCUCCCACCAUAGGCAAGAGGUGCACAGUGGUUACGACUAUUUCUCAUGGCUUAAUACUGAUUCCAGGAGCAUCAAAGUUCAUGUGAACAUGUGAACUUCCCUUCAGAAUCACAUGCAAUUAUGAUUAAACUUCCAAACAGAUUCCUGCCCAGCCCGACGCAUCAUGGAAAGCAGCCAAAGACUCCAGGCACUAGUUCCUGAUCAAGACAUUCAAUCACCAUGGUUUUCAAAAGCAUUCAGGGAUGAUCCUGGUUUUUUGACAUCAAAACCAAAGAAAGGCUUAGGAGCACCUUCCCCAUGAGCAGUUAAAGCGGCUAAAUGUAGCAGCUUUUGAGUAUCCCACCCAGUUGCUACCUCCUUCUGAGCUAACUCAAGCACACAUGAAAGCAUAGCUGGCAGGGUAUCUUUCAACAAAGCUUUCUUUGCAGGAACUGUUGAUUCACUGAAAUAAACUUUAUACGGAAAUGUUUCUGAUGAAACAUUUCAAGCCCUUGGAUGGCAUUUCCGGCUGAAACCAGCAAGUCAGAGGAGCUGGUCCGCUAGCUCAGACACAUGGUGAGACUGGCAGGGCCAGAAUUUAGGUCUGGGAGCUCAGGCUGCCGAGCAGCAUUGCUCAAAGGCUAUCAGCAGUGCUGUUUCUGCUCUGCCUUUGAAUAAAACAAACGUGAAAGCCUCACCAUCUCAUCGUCAAACAGAGUUCUUGUCUUCCAGUCUGUGUUCAAAGGGCAAGAGGUCACCAACUGAAGAAGCAAAAAGUAAGGAACUUGCUCGAGCUCACAGAAUCCUCAGAAUGGUGACUGGACUCUUGACGGUCUCUAGUCCAACCUCCCACAAAGAGCAGGACUGCCACCACCACGAGCACGGGUCAGUGCAACUUCAUUCAGCUACGUCAUGAAUACCUCCAGGCAGAAAUACCUGUCUACCCCUUGGGGCAACCUGUUCUCCUGCAGCACCACUCUCCAAGAGAAGUCACUCUGCCUCCUGUUCAACCUAAACCUCCCAUGCAGCAACCUGUGACCACUGCCAUUUGCCACAGUGCCUGCAGCCACCACACAGGCUUUGGUUCUGCCAUCUUUGUCACAGAAUGGUUUGGGCUGGAAGGACUCUCAAAGCUCAUCCAGUUCCAACCCCCUGCCAUGGGCAGGGACACCUUCCACUAGACCAGGUUGUUCAAAGCCCCAUCCAGCCUGGCCUUGGACACUGCCAGGGAUGGGGCAGCCACAGCUUCUCUGGGCAACCUGUGCCAGUGUCUCAUCACCCUCACAGUGAAGAAUUUCGCCCUAAUGUCUGUACAAGCCUGCUACUGGAUCCCC